rnacentral:rRNA from 1 species
UACGAAGGGGGGCUAGCGUUGCUCGGAAUCACUGGGCGUAAAGCGCACGUAGGCGGCUUUCUAAGUCAGGGGUGAAAUCCUGGAGCUCAACUCCAGAACUGCCUUUGAUACUGGAGAGCUUGAGUCCGGAAGAGGUGAGUGGAACUCCGAGUGUAGAGGUGAAAUUCGGUAGAUAUUCGGAAGAACACCAGUGGCGAAGGCGGCUCACUGGUCCGGUACUGACGCUGAGGUGCGAAAGCGUGGGGAGCAAACAGG